CUACGGGUCGCUCCAGUGAGGAAUAUUGCACAAUGGGGGGAACCCUGAUGCAGCAACGCCGCGUGGAGGAUGACGCAUUUCGGUGUGUAAACUCCUUUUAUAUGUCAAGAAAAUGACGGUAGCAUAUGAAUAAGCACCGGCUAACUCCGUGCCAGCAGCCGCGGUAAUACGGAGGGUGCAAGCGUUACUCGGAAUCACUGGGCGUAAAGGACGCGUAGGCGGGUUGGAAAGUCAGGUGUGAAAUCCUACAGCCUAACUGUAGAACUGCACUUGAAACUUCUAAACUAGAGUAUGGGAGGGGGAGAUGGAAUUAGUGGUGUAGGGGUAAAAUCCGUAGAUAUCACUAGGAAUACCUAAAGCGAAGGCGAUCUCCUGGAACAUUACUGACGCUAAGGCGUGAAAGCGUGGGGAGCAAACAGGAUUAGAUACCCGUGUAGUC
rnacentral:rRNA from 1 species